UAUAUUCUGCGGGCCUAGCAUGGCGAUUCUAUCUCUAUUCUACCAAGAAACGACAAAGCUCUUUCUUUCCCACUCGACAUGUCUUCUACCCGAGCAUGGCGCGAGCUGUAGACUCGCGUUUCUAUCAAGAGAAAGACUUUCCAUAGCAACGGAUAAGUAGCUAGUGAUGGGUCGCUCUACGAUGAAUUUACGUUUAGUUAGCCAAAAAAAUGUGUCAAUGCACUAUUUUUCACGCAUGAACCUAUACAUAAACUCACGUAACUCAAAGUAACAACAAAACGUAUUCAUCGAACUUAUUUUUAUCUGUGGAACUAAAAUGGUUCAUGUUUGUUUGUUUACAAAAAACGAUUUUUGUUGUUGAUUUUACUUAUUUAAAUAUUGGUGAUUACUGCGUGCGGCAAGGAAAAACGUACGAAGUCCCAUCCAAUAAACAGAGAAGAUAGUAUCGCGAUCCAUUGGGAAAAGAAGGCCACGAUAAAGAAGAAUAGGUCCGUAUUCAAAAGCUGCUG